UGGGGAAUUUUGGACAAUGGGCGCAAGCCUGAUCCAGCCAUGCCGCGUGCGGGAAGAAGGCCUUCGGGUUGUAAACCGCUUUUGUCAGGGAAGAAAUCUUCUGAGUUAAUACCUCGGGAGGAUGACGGUACCUGAAGAAUAAGCACCGGCUAACUACGUGCCAGCAGCCGCGGUAAUACGUAGGGUGCAAGCGUUAAUCGGAAUUACUGGGCGUAAAGCGUGCGCAGGCGGUUUUGUAAGACAGAGGUGAAAUCCCCGGGCUCAACCUGGGAACUGCCUUUGUGACUGCAAGGCUUGAGUGCGGCAGAGGGGGAUGGAAUUCCGCGUGUAGCAGUGAAAUGCGUAGAUAUGCGGAGGAACACCGAUGGCGAAGGCAAUCCCCUGGGCCUGCACUGACGCUCAUGCACGAAAGCGUGGGGAGCAAACAGGAUUAGAUAGCCCUGGUAGUCCACGCCCUAAACGAUGUCAACUGGUUGUUGGGAAGGUUCCCUCUCAGUAACGUAGCUAACGCGUGAAGUUGA
rnacentral:rRNA from 1 species